rnacentral:rRNA from 1 species
CCUACUGCAUUCCCUAGUACGGCGAGUGAAGAGGGAAGAGCUCAAAUUUGAAAGCUGGUACCUUCGGUAUCCGCGUUGUAACCUCGAGACACGUUUUCCGUGCGGCGCUAUGGACAAGUUCCUUGGAACAGGACAUCGUAGAGGGUGAAAAUCCCGUACUUGCCAUGGAUGUACCGUGCUUUGCGAUACGUGCUCUAAGAGUCGAGUUGUUUGGGAUUGCAGCUCAAAAUGGGUGGUAGACUCCAUCUAAAGCUAAAUAUCGGGGAGAGACCGAUAGCGAACAAGUACCGUGAGGGAAAGAUGAAAAGCACUUUGGAAAGAGAGUUAAAAGUACGUGAAAUUGUCGAAAGGGAAGCGCUUGAAGUCAGCCAUGCCGCUCAGGACUCAGCCUGGCUUUUGCUUGGUGUAUUUCCUGGGUAGCAAGUCAGCAUUGGUUUGGAUCGUCGGAGAAGCAUAGUCGGAAUGUGGCGCCCUCGGGCGUGUUAUAGCCUUCUAUUGGAUACGACGAUCUAGACCAAGGAACGCAGCGCGCCUUAUGGCGGGUCUUCGGACACCUUCGCGCUUAGGAUGCUGGCGUAAUGGCUUUAAGUGGCCCGUCUUGAACCC